GCAGAGAUGGCUCAGUGGUUAAGAGCACUGCAUAAUUCUUGCAGAGGACCUAGGUUCAGACCCUUGUAUUCACA
rnacentral:tRNA from 1 species